rnacentral:rRNA from 1 species
GUGGGGAAUUUUGGACAAUGGGCGCAAGCCUGAUCCAGCCAUUCCGCGUGCAGGAUGAAGGCCUUCGGGUUGUAAACUGCUUUUGUACGGAACGAAAAGCCUCUGGUUAAUACCCGGGGGUCAUGACGGUACCGUAAGAAUAAGCACCGGCUAACUACGUGCCAGCAGCCGCGGUAAUACGUAGGGUGCGAGCGUUAAUCGGAAUUACUGGGCGUAAAGCGUGCGCAGGCGGUGAUGUAAGACAGUUGUGAAAUCCCCGGGCUCAACCUGGGAACUGCAUCUGUGACUGCAUUGCUGGAGUGCGGCAGAGGGGGAUGGAAUUCCGCGUGUAGCAGUGAAAUGCGUAGAUAUGCGGAGGAACACCGAUGGCGAAGGCAAUCCCCUGGGCCUGCACUGACGCUCAUGCACGAAAGCGUGGGGAGCAAACAGGAUUAGAUACCCUAGUAGUCC